AUUUAUAUAGUUUAAGAAAACAUUACAUUUUCAAUGUAAAAUUGAACUAAGUUCUAUAAAUA
rnacentral:tRNA from 1 species